rnacentral:rRNA from 1 species
AUUGAACGCUGGCGGCAUGCCUUACACAUGCAAGUCGAACGGCAGCACGGGAGCAAUCCUGGUGGCGAGUGGCGAACGGGUGAGUAACAUAUCGGAACGUGCCCAGUCGUGGGGAUAACGUAGCGAAAGCUACGCUAAUACCGCAUACGAUCUAUGGAUGAAAGCGGGGGAUCGCAAGACCUCGCGCGAUUGGAGCGGCCGAUAUCAGAUUAGGUAGUUGGUGAGGUAAAGGCUCACCAAGCCGACGAUCUGUAGCUGGUCUGAGAGGACGACCAGCCACACUGGGACUGAGACACGGCCCAGACUCCUACGGGAGGCAGCAGUGGGGAAUUUUGGACAAUGGGCGCAAGCCUGAUCCAGCAAUGCCGCGUGCAGGAUGAAGGCCUU